UCCCAUUCUCCGGAGAAGUAACUGGGGAUGACGUCGUAAACCCAAACACCAUGGACAAAUCUGUCGACCCAGGAACCGAGCAAAGUCCCCGAAAUGCAGAUGAAAGCGGAAAAAAUCAAGUGAGAAAGAGAAAGGGGAGGAAUCAAGUGAGGAAGAAGAAAGAGGAGGAAUCAGAAAAAAGAAGAGGAGGAAUCCGGAGAAGUAGAAGAAGACAAGGCCGGAGAAGAAGAAAAGAAACCUAAAGAAGGAGAUGGAGUGGAGCCCCGAAAAAAUGACAAAGAAGCUGAAGAAGAGACGACCCAAUCAGUACGAGAACAUGAAACUGAGACGCAUGCAGUGGUAAGUAAUCUAUAUUAUAAUAGGGGACUUGGGGCUUUCCCAGCGUGCUACGUCAGCGUUUUUAGCGUGUGGACUUUCUAUUUGUUUUGAGCUUCUCCUUAAAACACUUAUUAUGUUCGACCCAUAUCUUUUUUUCCCACUACUCGACAACACAAAAGAAACGAAGUUUAGGGAUUCUGCCGCCUCUGUCUAGAUCUUUCUCUGGCUAUUCCUCUUCCGGUUUCCAUCUUUUAAGAUCGAUCUUUAACACUCUGCGCACGUUUUCUGGCCACGAAUCGAUUCAUCAUUCUGUAACUCCUUCAGAAGCCUUUUAUAUAUAGAGUUCCUCUGAGCUUCUCCAACCACCGUCGCCGCUGUUCCUUACUCCACCUUCGACUCCCUCCGCCUCGGAAGAUCCGCCCAGUCUGUCGUCUGUCGGCUCAUACGAUUCUGGGAUUCCAGGAACAUUAGCAAGAAUGGAGAGUUCAUGGGUAUCACCAUUCUCCUCCUUGAUGAACAGGAUUCCGUGAUCCACGGUUUCAUACAGGCGAACCGGGCCAGCCAGUACCGGUAAUCUCUGAAAUCCGGUUCGAUUGUGCGAUUGGACCGUUUUGAAGUUGCAAGGGUGGCCCACAUGUUCAAAGUUACGGAGCAUCAGUACCAGCUCCGCUUCCUUCCUUCAACACGUCUUGAUGAAGUCUAGGUGAACGCUCAUGUUAUCAAGUCGAACAGAUUCAUGUUGAGGCGUUUUGAUCACCAUGCUUGCCAACACCAACUUGGAGCUUCCAGAUGUUAUGGGUGAGAUAAGAUCUGUGCAGGGGUCUGACCUCAACAACACCUCAGCCACGAGCAGAGUUGUUGUCAGUUUCCUAAUUGAACCGUGCAUGAGGGUGGAGAGGAGCGUCUCCCAGGAUAACUUGAAGAGCUAGAAGGUAAAUAGUUUAUGUUUCAGAUCCGCGUCACACCUUUCAAUUUCACUCUUAACCACCGUACCUUCACAGUCUCCACCAUCACUGAAGAUUCCCCCAUGUUGAACCAUGUCAAGGAACACGUUGAAGUCAUUUCUACAAGCAGUGAGGAUAAAGUCGGCCUGGCACGUUCGUCUUCUGGUCCCCCCAAUUUAGGAGGCAAGAUUGGGGCGGAAUGUGCUUUGGCAAAUCCUCCUGAGAAUGCAGAAGCUCAGAAGAAACGCAAGCGUGGCAGUGAGUAGUUGGGAGAAAAUGUUCCUGCCACCCCGUCAACACCACUAUCUAUCUUUUUUAAAAAGCUUCUAAUAGCUAUGUUUCUCUUUGCAACUUUGUUUUUUUUUCCUUUUUUUCGUUUCAUAUCUGAUAUUUUAUCUAUGUUUUGGAUUAUUAAAUCAAUGAAUCGAUCAACUUUGAAA